AUUGAACGCUGGCGGCAUGCUUUACACAUGCAAGUCGAACGGCAGCGCGGGCUUCGUCCUGGCUGCGCGUGGCGAACGGGGGUGUAAUGCACCUGAACGUGCCCAGUAGUGGUGGAUAGCCCGGCGAAAGCCGGGUUAAUACCGCAUGCUACCAGCGGGUGCAGCCGGGUGGCCGAAGGACCUCUCCCGCUUGUGGCGGUCGACGCCGGGGUAGACAGUUGGUUGGGUAAAGGGUUACCAAGGCGGCGAUCCGUAGCUGGUCUGCGAGAACGACCAGCCACACUGGGACUGGGACACGGACAAGGCUACUAAGGGAGGCAGCAGUGGGGAAUUUUGGACAAUGGGGGCAAACAUGAUCCAGCCAUGGCGCGUGUGGGAAGAAGGCGUUCGGGUUGUAAACCGGUUUUGUUCGGGAAGAAAUCCUCUGGGCUGAUACCAAGGGGGGAUGACGGUAACGGAAGAAUAAGCACCGGCUAACUACGUG
rnacentral:rRNA from 1 species